rnacentral:rRNA from 1 species
CGGCCGCGGUAUUUUGACCGUGCAAAGGUAGCGCAAUCACUUGUCUUUUAAAUAGAGACCUGUAUGAAUGGCUAAACGAGGGCUUAACUGUCUCCCCCUUCAAGUCAGUGAAAUUGAUCUAUCCGUGCAGAAGCGGGUAUAACCAUACAAGACGAGAAGACCCUUUGGAGCUUAAGGUACAAAAUUCAAUCACGUUAAGCAACUCAAUAAAAAGCAAAAACUUAGUGAAAAAUGAAAUUUUACCUUCGGUUGGGGCGACCACGGAGGAAAAACAAGCCUCCGAGUGGAAUGGGCCAAAUCCCUAAAACUAAGAGAAACAUCUCUAAGCCACAGAACAUCUGACCAAAAAUGAUCCGGCUAAUAAGUGCCGAUCAACGAACCAAGUUACCCUAGGGAUAACAGCGCAAUCCUCUCCCAGAGUCCAUAUUGACGAGGGGGUUUACGACCUCGAUGUUGGAUCAGGACAUCCUAAUGGUGCAGCCGCUAUUAAGGGUU